GGAACAGUCCUAGGCUGGGUUUACAGAGGAAUAAAGAAUAUUCUGACCUGGAGGGUGGAGUCUACGAGGUAGAUUCCCUUGAGCCUCUCAAAGUCAUUCCUCAACAGCAACAUGAUUUGGCACAUAACAUCUGCUCCAUUCCACCCCAUGACCAAUGGUUACUGAACGAAUGGUCAGGACCACAAAGGAGGCGCUCAAGUGGAUGAUGAAUGUGUACUGGAACCACCGCCUGGCAAACUUCCUCCUGUUUCAAAACAACGCCCAGUACAGCAACAGGUUGCAGCCCAGCAGAGCUGAGGUGGGGCCGUUGGCUCACAACGAAGCUCAAUCGACUUCACCCAGAUAGAGUAGCAGCGGAGACGGCUCAGCCAACCCCCCACCCCCAGGAGCCUACAGCCAGUCUGGAAACCAGAACUAACCCUAUCCCUGGAGGAUUUGAGUUUGGAACUUGUCUUCUUGGUUCAGAAGGUGAACCAUCCUAAAGGAGUCCCUUGGAAGUCUUGCAGAAUUUUACAGUACAUUUACAGAAAGACUACAAAAUUAUAAAUGAACUCUGUUGCAGGCAUUACUCAGAACAUCCAAUGUUUGGAGCAUUAACCAGUUGUUUAUCACGUAAAUCAAUAUAACAGAUGGAUAAAGGGAAGCAUUUAAAAUCCAUUUUAAAAAUGCACUCAGUUCCAUGGUUUAUGUUUAUAUCAGAAAUGCAAAGAAUAAAGUAGCUUCAUGAGUCAAACAA